rnacentral:rRNA from 1 species
GGUCCCGCCUGCCCAGUGACUCUUUAAACGGCCGCGGUAUCCUAACCGUGCAAAGGUAGCAUAAUCACUUGUCCCCUAAAUAGGGACUGGAAUGAACGGCUAAAUGAGGACUAAACUGUCUCUUACGGACUGGCCAAUAAAAUUAAUCUUCCAGUACAAAAGCUGGAAUAAACCCAUAAGACGAGAAGACCCUGUGGAGCUUCAAAACCAAACCAUAAAACAUGCCUCCUGGUUUUUUAGUUGGGGCGACUUCGGAGCAAAAAAAAACCUCCAAAACAAAAACUUCAUUCAUCAAGAUUAACACACCAAAAAAUCAUAAAAGAUCCAGCAUAUAGCCCAGAACUAUUUGUCUGACCAAUGAACCAAGUUACCCCAGGGAUAACAGCGCCAUCCCCUUCUAGAGUCCCUAUCGACAAGGGGGUUUACGACCUCGAUGUUGGAUCAGGACACCCCAAUGGUGCAGCCGCCAUUAAAGGUUCGUUUGUUCAACGAUUAAAGUCCUA